rnacentral:tRNA from 1 species
AAAACUAUAGUUAAGUAUAACAUUUGGGUUGCAUUCAAAAAGUGCCUAAAGGCUAGUUUUA